GGGGAAUUUUGGACAAUGGGGGCAACCCUGAUCCAGCCAUGCCGCGUGCAGGAUGAAGGCCUUCGGGUUGUAAACUGCUUUUGUACGGAACGAAAAGACUCUGGUUAAUACCUGGGGUCCAUGACGGUACCGUAAGAAUAAGCACCGGCUAACUACGUGCCAGCAGCCGCGGUAAUACGUAGGGUGCAAGCGUUAAUCGGAAUUACUGGGCGUAAAGCGUGCGCAGGCGGUGAUGUAAGACAGAGGUGAAAUCCCCGGGCUCAACCUGGGAACUGCCUUUGUGACUGCAUCGCUGGAGUGCGGCAGAGGGGGAUGGAAUUCCGCGUGUAGCAGUGAAAUGCGUAGAUAUGCGGAGGAACACCGAUGGCGAAGGCAAUCCCCUGGGCCUGCACUGACGCUCAUGCACGAAAGCGUGGGGAGCGAAC
rnacentral:rRNA from 1 species